rnacentral:lncRNA from 1 species
AGUUGUGUCCAGAAGCUUGUUCCGGUUGUGUCCAGAAGCUUGUUCCAGUUGUGUCCAGAAGCUUUUUCGGGUUGUGUCCUGCAGUUUGUUCCAGCAAUUUGUUCCCGUUUUAUACUGCAGUUUGUUGCAGUUCCUGAAUUUAUUCUUCACGAGUCUUUGUAGAAGUUAACUUUAAAGCAGGACUUUCACUGUAAGAUAUGCAAAAAGAACAACAUGAAAUGGAGACAACCACCAACCAGGGCACACAGUUGGCUUUAGAAGAAGUUUCUUAUCAGGAAUUGACCAAAAAGGAUGUUGAUAUUGAUGCACUUCCUCAAAGCAACUUCAGUCCUACAGAACUAAGGGGAGGCAACAGUUAUCACUAUUGACCUAGAAACCAUUGACCUAAUUCAAUAUGGGAAGAUGCCACAUGUCACACAAAGCCGCAUACCACAACAAAUCGCUGUAGCACAUAUAUCUAUGUCGCACCUAAAAAUGAAAUUUCACCAGAGGCACAAAGGAUCACCAGGAUUGCAUGGAAUGUUCAGACACGAUGACAAUAAAAAACACAAUAGUCCAACACAUCUGUACCUUGAAUUAAGACUGUAGAGAAAUUGUGUACUUGGCUUGAAAAGAUCGUAAAGUGAUUUUGGUAGCCCGUUAUGGAAGAUAAUUUGUUUUUCAGGUUCUUAUCUCAGCUCUACUGUGCUAGAAAAUAACUAGGACAUUAUUCAGCUGAGUUUCUUCUAGUAUUCUUUUACCAGUGUUCAAAGAACUGUACCCCAAACGGUCAUACCUGCUAUGACACUACUUGGUAUCCGGUACAAUGCCUAUAACUGACAGACAGACAAAUUUGUUAUGAAAAACUGGGAAGGCCUGUCAAGGGUUUUCAUAUGUUAAAGAAAAAUUUCAAGCAAUGAGGUAUACUCAUGAUAAAUUUGGUACCAUAAUGUUCAUUAUCUUAAGUAAAAAAUGACAAUUGUAAUUGGAAAUUCGAAUUGUGUUAUUUUACUCUAUAUUUAAGAAAAUUAAUGUAUUCAAACUUGUAAUUUUUUUCAUUUGUUGAAAUGUUAUAGCUUUAAGCCUUAGUGCCCUCUUUUUACAAUCUGCCUAAAGAAACACUUUAGUUGUUCUUAUUUAUUAUUUAGCCAUUUCCUUGAUUAAAAAUACACAACAAACUUCUAGCUCAAGACUUUCCAAGGUUGACAAGUUAUUACUUUCUUUAAUUUUGCUUAAGUUUGUUAAUUAUUGUUAAAUACUUUUGUUCAAAAUUUAAUAAGGUGUAAAACCGGUCACACAUUAAACCGGAAUCCACCUAAAAACCGGAAUACACCGGAAUACACUUUCCAUAACCGGAAUACACCUGUAUUUUUUA